rnacentral:rRNA from 1 species
GAUGAACGCUGGCGGCGUGCCUAACACAUGCAAGUCGAGCGGCAGCGAGGGGUGCUUGCACCCUGCCGGCGAGCGGCGGACGGCUGAGUAACGCGUGGGAACGUGCCCCAAAGUGAGGAAUAACUGCCCGAAAGGGUAGCUAAUACCGCAUAUUAUCUUCGGAUCAAAGGAUUUAUCCGCUUUGGGAGCGGCUCGCGUCGGAUUAGGUAGUUGGUGAGGUAAUGGCUCACCAAGCCGACGAUCCGUAGCUGGUCUGAGAGGAUGACCAGCCAGACUGGAACUGAGACACGGUCCAGACUCCUACGGGAGGCAGCAGUGAGGAAUCUUCCACAAUGGGCGAAAGCCUGAUGGAGCAACGCCGCGUGCAGGACGAAGGCCUUCGGGUUGUAAACUGCUUUUAUAAGUGAGGAAUAUGACGGUAACUGAUGAAUAAGGAUCGGCUAACUACGUG